rnacentral:rRNA from 1 species
GACGAACGCUGGCGGCGUGCUUAACACAUGCAAGUCGAACGGAAAGGCCCUGCUUUUGUGGGGUGCUCGAGUGGCGAACGGGUGAGUAACACGUGAGUAACCUGCCCUUGACUUUGGGAUAACUUCAGGAAACUGGGGCUAAUACCGGAUAGGAGCUCCUGCUGCAUGGUGGGGGUUGGAAAGUUUCGGCGGUUGGGGAUGGACUCGCGGCUUAUCAGCUUGUUGGUGGGGUAGUGGCUUACUAAGGCUUUGACGGGUAGCCGGCCUGAGAGGGUGACCGGCCACAUUGGGACUGAGAUACGGCCCAGACUCCUACGGGAGGCAGCAGUGGGGAAUAUUGCACAAUGGGCGGAAGCCUGAUGCAGCAACGCCGCGUGCGGGAUGACGGCCUUCGGGUUGUAAACCGCUUUCGCCUGUGACGAAGCGUGAGUGACGGUAAUGGGUAAAGAAGCACCGGCUAACUAGGUG